rnacentral:rRNA from 1 species
UACGUAGGGGGCAAGCGUUGUCCGGAAUCAUUGGGCGUAAAGAGCGUGUAGGCGGCCCGAUAAGUCCGCUGUGAAAGUCCAGGGCUCAACCCUGGGAUGCCGGUGGAUACUGGCGGGCUCGAGUCCGGAAGAGGAGUGUGGAAUUCCUGGUGUAGCGGUGAAAUGCGCAGAUAUCAGGAGGAACACCAAUGGCGAAGGCAGCACUCUGGGACGUGACUGACGCUGAGACGCGAAAGCGUGGGGAGCAAACAGG